GCGUAGGGACCAAGCGUUGUUCGGAUUUACUGGGCGUAAAGGGCGCGUAGGCGGCAUGGUAAGUCACUUGUGAAAUCUCCGAGCUUAACUCGGAACGGCCAAGUGGUACUGCUGAGCUAGAGUGCAGAAGGGGCAAUCGGAAUUCUUGGUGUAGCGGUGAAAUGCGUAGAUAUCAAGAGGAACACCUGAGGUGAAGACGGGUUGCUGGGCUGACACUGACGCUGAGGCGCGAAAGCUAGGGGAGCAAACGG
rnacentral:rRNA from 1 species